rnacentral:lncRNA from 1 species
GCUCUAUGUUGUCCUUCAGGUAUCAGUGAGUUAUAAGUGGGACCUUCCUGUGGCCCAGACAACAUAGGGUAUUAACCCAAUACCCUAUGGGUAUUAACCCUUUGUUAUCUGGGCUACAUUCCGGUGUGUGCUCAGCUCUGUACGUCAUACUUACAGUGAGUCCCAAUCUGCUCUAUUAGAGUGGGUAAAUCCCCAUUGGCAUCAAUUAGGGCAAUGGAAUGAUCUCUAGUGGCACAGUCAGCUCUCCUGCAGGGGGGUAGUGUCUGUUGUCAAUUAGCUGGGGCGAGGGGGGGGGCCUUAGGGAACGAGCAGUGGUAGCAUCAGGCAAAGCGUAGCUGAGGACAACAGCAGUGAGGCAGAGUGUGGAGGAAAACCGUGCUUGCAGCAGCAUCUCAAAGAUGUUCAGCAAGCUGAAAAGUGUUCUGAAGGGGCCCGCGCCUCCAGAUACUGCCCCACCUCGAGCAGCCUCCCCAGCCCCUGCCCCAGCCCCUGCUCCAGCCCCUGCUCCAGCUCCAGCUCCUGCUCCUGCUCCAGCUUCUGCUCCAGCUCCUGCUCCAGCUCCUGCUCCAGCUCCUGAACCUGCCAAGGAGGAUAAGCCUGCAGAGAAACCUAAUGAAGAGAAGAAAGAUGAGAAACCAGCAGGUAAAUAAGUCUGGACUCAAGCCUCAUGUCAUAAUUGUGACUGUGAUGACUCGUGUGUACAAGCUUUUUUCUCGUGCGUGAUCUGUUCAUUUCUCUUAUGAGCAGCUACAGAAAUGACUUUAAUAGUCAGCAAACCAAACACACUUCUAUUGCUCAGGAAAAAAGCUCAAGAUUUGGUAUGACUAAGCUCUAUUCAAAUGGAGUUUCACUUGCAGGAAAUGGUACCUAAUAGAGUUUCAAAGUCAGAAUCCCGGACAAAACGUGUUAUGCUAAUUUGGGGUCUAAAAACAGUAGUCUGUUUAGCCAACCUGCCAUGAGGUGUGUGGCUGUAUGUGUAGAAUACGUUAUGUAAGACAGUAAGACAGCACAUACAAUAACUUACAGAACGGCACUAGAAAAUGCAUCUGUUUAACAUUAACAGCAG